CAGCACCUCAAGUGGUCAGGAUGAUUAUUGUGCCUAAAGCAUCCGUAGCCGGCUCUGUAAGUUUUCGGUUAAAUCUGUACGCUCAACGUACAGGCUGCCGGGAAUACUGCAGAGCUAGGGAGUGGGAGAGGUAGACGGUACUCGGUAGGAAGGGGUAAAAUCCUUUGAUCUAUUGAUGACCACCUGUGGCGAAGGCGGUCUACCAGAACACGUCCGACGGUGAGGGAUUAAAGCUGGGGGAGCAAACCGGAUUAGAUACCCGCGUAGUCC
rnacentral:rRNA from 1 species